rnacentral:rRNA from 1 species
CCCGCACAAGCGGAGGAACAUGUGGUUUAAUUCGAUGAUACGCGAGGAACCUUACCUGGGCUUAAAUGUAGAGUGCAUUUUUUAGAGAUAGAAAUUCCCUUCGGGGCUUUCUGCAAGGUGCUGCAUGGUUGUCGUCAGCUCGUGCCGUGAGGUGUCGGGUUAAGUCCCAUAACGAGCGCAACCCUUAUCGUUAGUUGCCAUCUGGUAAUGCAGGGGACUCUAGCGAAACUGCCACCGUAAGGUGAGAGGAAGUGGGGAUGACGUCAAAUCAGCACGGCCCUUAUGUCCAGGGCUACACACGUGUUACAAUGGUCGGUACAGAGGGCAGCUACCUGGUGACAGGAUGCUAAUCUCCAAAACUGGUCUCAGUUCGGAUCGAAGUCUGCAACUCGACUUCGUGAAGUUGGAUUCGCUAGUAAUCGCGCAUCAGCAACGGCGCGGUGAAUACGUUCCCGGGCCUU